rnacentral:lncRNA from 1 species
CGUCUGAAGGAUAUCGUUCUCUAAACCAGUCUCCAGGAAGAAGAGAAAGAAACCACACUGGCUAGUGAAGAAGCAGGAGCUUCUUGUUUUAAUUGCUCACCAAUGUGAUUGAAUCAUUGUAAAAAGAAAAAAGACAAAAAAGAAUCACCACUGUCUAUUUUAUGAAGAUGAUAAAGCAGCUUUAUUAAAUUAUUACAGUUAUGUUUCAAAUGGUGUUAUCUGCCACAUUGUUUCCUUUUAUCUGGUGGUUCUCUGUUUCCCCCUUUAAAUGUGUUUUCUCUGCUUCAAAAAUUUAAUGCAUUUUAGUAUUAAAGGCUAUUAUGGAAAAA